rnacentral:guide_RNA from 1 species
AAUAAAUCAAUAACAAGAGAUACCGUAAAAGAGAGAAAUGAAUAUAAGU